rnacentral:rRNA from 1 species
GACGAACGCUGGCGGCGUGCCUAAUACAUGCAAGUCGAGCGGACUUAAAAAGCUUGCUUUUUAAGUUAGCGGCGGACGGGUGAGUAACACGUGGGCAACCUGCCUGUAAGACUGGGAUAACUUCGGGAAACCGGAGCUAAUACCGGAUAAUCCUUUUCUACUCAUGUAGAAAACCUGAAAGACGGUUUCCGCUGUCACUUACAGAUGGGCCCGCGGCGCAUUAGCUAGUUGGUGAGGUAACGGCUCACCAAGGCGACGAUGCGUAGCCGACCUGAGAGGGUGAUCGGCCACACUGGGACUGAGACACGGCCCAGACUCCUACGGGAGGCAGCAGUAGGGAAUCUUCCGCAAUGGACGAAAGUCUGACGGAGCAACGCCGCGUGAGUGAUGAAGGUUUUCGGAUCGUAAAACUCUGUUGUUAGGGAAGAACAAGUACGAGAGUAACUGCUCGUACCUUGACGGUACCUAACCAGAAAGCCACGGCUAACUACGUG